CAGCAGUAGCCACGGGAACACAGAGGGUGCGAGCGUUAAUCGGAUUUACUGGGCGUAAAGCGUGCGUAGGCGGCUUCUUAAGUCGGAUGUGAAAUCCCUGAGCUUAACUUAGGAAUUGCAUUCGAUACUGGGAAGCUAGAGUAUGGGAGAGGAUGGUAGAAUUCCAGGUGUAGCGGUGAAAUGCGUAGAGAUCUGGAGGAAUACCGAUGGCGAAGGCAGCCAUCUGGCCUAAUACUGACGCUGAGGUACGAAAGCAUGGGGAGCAAACAGGAUUAGAUACCCCCGUAGUCCCUGUCUCUUAUAC
rnacentral:rRNA from 1 species